CCUGUGUAAGUCAGAGAUAAGAAGUCAACAUUGUUACACGACUUUUUAACUUUUCUUUAACGAUAAGAAGCAAUACACACACACACAUAUGUAUAAACACACAUUUAUAAAGAGAGAGAGAGAGAGAGAAAGGAUAUAAUGGGCGAUGUGAAUGCUUAUAUCACGGACAAGGUCCAGUGGCUGAUUCGGACAGUAUGGCGAUCUAUUUCAUGUUAGAUUCCAAAUUGUUUUGCAAGAACUGGAGUAGCUCAAAAAAAUUGUUUCGCUGGUACUGACCACUGACCAGUAUCUAAAUUCAAUUACAUGUAAGAGUGUCAAAUGACUUACCCCUACCAAACCCUCUGGCUACUCUCACUUUAAAUUCACUUGGUGUAUACACCUUGAGGGAGCUGGUUGGUGGCCCAUGCCCAAAACAAGACCACAGGCAGAAACUAUAUGAGAUAUCCUGGACUUAAUACAUGAAACAUCAAUAGCACCCGAUGGGGUGUAAUCAUACCAUUAUGCUGGCUCUGGAAGGGGUCGGGGGUAGAAGUAAUUUUUUAAAAGACAGAAUGAAGAGUGAACUUUUAGUGCUACACAAUAGUCCUGUGUUCAUCCGUUAUAAAGGUCCUGAAGGUGUGACGUCCUGAAGGACUCGUGUGACGUUUUGAAGGACUCAAUGUGACGUCCUGCAGGACUCAGUGUGACAUCCUGAAGAGCUGAGUGUGACGUCUGUACUUUUCUUGAUCUUUCUUUUAUCUCUUUAUUUUAAAUUGUUCCUUUUGACACUAUUCCAAAAAUAGAUUUAACCAAAGUAAGAACACAACAAUGUAUGGCCAUAGUCACAUGUUCAGAUGAUCUUCACUUGUUCAAAUUAUGCUCACAUUUUCAGAUAUUAAUUGUUCAGAUGAUGUUCACCUGUCACAGAGGACAUUCCAUUGCUUCCUGUUCAAAUAAUGUUUACAUGUCCAGUAACAUUUUUAGUUUAGAUCAUUUUGACAUGUCCAGAUGAUGUAUACGUGUUCACAUGAUGUUCACAUUUCCAGAUGAUACUCACCUGUUUAUAGAUUUAUUUGUUCAGGUGAUGUCCAGCUGUUACAGAUGAAAAUUAUUUGUUCCAAUGAUGUCAAUAUGUUACAUAGGAUGUUCGAUUAUUCAGAUGUUCACAUGGUCAGAGGAUUCUUCCAGAUAACGUUCCCUUGUUCAGAUGAUAUUCAUCAGCAGAAAUGAUGUUCACUUGUUCAGGCAUGGUCAAGUCUGAUCAUAACUAAUUAUGAAGAUGUUUAAAAACGUUCAUAUAUUCUAAUGAUAUUCACAUGAACAGAUGAUGUUCACUUGUUAAAAUAAUGUACACAUAUUUACAAAUGAGUAAAAAGUAAACAGUAAAGUUUCCCCUUUCAGACCAUGGGAAAGGCUUUGGGAGUCAACCCUGAGGAAAAAUCAGGAGCUGGUGACCCUAAGGCAGUUUGCAGCACCCAGUGCUACACUCUGGCAGAACCUGCGACGUCGCUGACUCCAAACUGUAUCGACACUGCCGUUCCUCUGGAUACAUCAGCUGCGUGGAGUGGGGGGAACUGAUGUGUGAACGACAUCGUUCCGACCACAGCUAAUGCCCAGACAUUCAUCUCAUUUCCAAUGAGAUGAUCCAUAGUCACUUCGCGACUGAAGGAGGCCAUAGAGAUAUACUUGUUCACAUUAUCCAGAUGAAAUUUCCUUGUUCAGAAGAUGUACAAAUGUUUUGAUGAAGUUCAUAUGCUUAGGAGAUAUUCGCUUGUUUAGAUGAUGUGCAUAUUUAGAGAUGAUGUUCGCGUGUUCACAUGCCAUCCAUAAGUACAGAUGAUGUCUACUUAUUUGGAUAAUGUUGGCUUGUAGCAGAUGCUAUUCCAAUGUUAAAGUACCCAACGAUUAUCUUAUAAAUGUCUGAUCAGUUUAAGGAUCAUCAGAAAUCAGGUGCCUUCACCGGGACAAGAACCCGAAAUCAUCAGAUCCGCAGCUGAACCAUUAUCCACGCUACCACCCAGUAGUAAAAUAUAAACGUAUAAAGCAUCUUGGCCCAUAUAGCUAGUGUGACUAAUCAAAAUGUCGAAUCCUUUUGUUAGCUCGUUUAAAUCAGUCCACUCAGCAUUAACCUGGAUCUCGUAGAUACUACAAAUCUAGUAGACCUUUACUCUUUCUGAGAGUCUUUCACCGUAACUCAUAAACUUGAUUUCAAUCUAGAUAAAUCUCUUUUUAUUUAGUUUUACAAAAUGUAAGUAAAUGGUAACGAAGAUAAGAAGACAUAACUUCGCCUAUCCAUUUCAAACUAGUUUAAGGUGACAGGGAAGAAGAUAGGGUUUAAACUCGAGGCCUCUUAACGGCAGUUCGAAACACCUACCAAAUGACCAGCAGCCCUUCCAUUUAAAAAGAAAUUCAAAGAAACUAGAACUAAACGUAUAGCCAUUGUCUAGUGUUUAGAUCUAGUUAUAAGAUUUGUUCCUUUUUUUGUUCCUUCGGACCAUUGUGCGGUUAUAGUAACAACAAGGUUACAAAGACAGUUUGUGUGGAAACACAACUCAAAAUCGGCCCCCGAAGUGGUCCACCUAGACUGUCCUAUUCCAAGUGCUUUACCCCUCAGCCACAGCAUCUCCAUAUAGGCCUAUUCAUUUAGCGUAGACUUAUAUUUUUCAAAAUAAUAAUUAUUAACAUUUUCAAUGCAUUCAAAAUUAAUAACGUUACAUGUAACAAACAAGAAACUAAAAAAGAUGUAUUCUUUACAUAAAACAUAAAUCUGCACCCCUAAGUCAGAAGAUAAAUUAUUGCCUUAAUAAUUAAAAUUUUGUUCAAAUUAUCAAUAUAUGAAUAAUAUAUAUAUAUUUUUAAAAUAAAUCUAGAUUUGGGCUCUAUUUAGUCAUAUUUAGACUUUCAAGUGUAGGCUCCUAUUAUGAGGAUAUAUCAAAAGUGCACGCUAUUUGUUAUUUUUGAAACUUAUAACCUUUAAAAACAACAUUUGAAUCAGUAUUCUAUUCAACGAGUUAGUUAAUAAAUGGAAAAUAUAUUUUAUAAUGAUCCAUUGACACUUUUACCAAUGUGACCUUAGAUGCAAAUUUUUUUUUUACCAAUUCGCGAAUCUAUGAAUGAAGCUUGAGUUAUUAAUGAAAAAGUCCAUGACCUUUUUUAAAAAAAAGGUUACCUCCCCUGAAGUUUUUCAUUGAAAAGUGGUGUAAUUUUUUUAAAAAUCUGCUUGCAUAUAUAAUUUAAAAAAUUAGAUGGUUCACUUUCGGAAAGUAAAAGGGUAGCGUUGCAUCAGAACUUUGAAUGAUUUAAAAUAUCAUGAUAUCCUAUUUUCAUUUUCUUUUCUAGUUUCUGAGAUCUAAGCGUGGCACACGGACAGACAGGCCACGCAAAACUAAUAGCUUCUUUUUCCUUUUUGAAGACAGUAAUAAAAAAAAUUUGAUGCCUAUUUCUCUUAUUUCCAUCAAUCAAUGAAAUAAAACGGGUAUGUAGUUUCUUCUGUUGGACAAAAACGCAAAGUGCUCCUUUCUCCAUAGUGUCAUUAGAGUAAGAGCAUAAAGCGGAUUGCCUGAAUUAACCAGGAAAACCAAUGACUUUUUUAGAAGCAGACUUUGUCUCUAAUUAACACAUGGAUACGAGAAGAACGUAAUAACAUUCAGACUCAUUCAGUUUUGGAGAGAGUCUGUAAUUUCUAAGAUAAGACACUGUGAAGCAACAUGAUAUGACAAUAAACAUUUUAUAAGCUAAUAUUGAUUGUUACGUAAGGGGGAAAGCCGCUAUUAGGUUUGUGCAAAAAUGUCCGUCUGUCACACUAAGAUCUCGAAAACUAGAAUAGAAAUGAAAAAUAUUUUUUCACCAUGCAAUGCAGCUUGAAAAGUUUAAGUGCAAGGGCUACUUUUGGUUUUCUAAAAGCAAACCGUUUAAUUUAUAAAAUUAAUUAUGCAAGCGAUUUUUUCAUUGAAAUACACCAGCGACUUUCGUACAGUAGCGUAACAGGUAGCGGCAAAACAUAGUACCACUCAGUUUCCUCAAAAUUUUUUAAAUAAUUAGAUUUUAUUUUUUUUUUUUGUUUAGUGCCCACAUCAGGAUAAAAGACUCUUAUUUUUGUGCGUUUUGUUUGCCGGUCGGUCUGUCUGUCACGUUUAGAUAACAAAAACAACAAUUUAAAAAGCCAUUGAAAAUCUUAUUUAACCUUUUAUGUUCCUUCCGAAACAUCUCAAAAGUUUUAGGUACAUAUAAUAGAUUGUUCCGGAUGUUUUUGUGAAAAAAAAAUCAAUGCCAACCAAUGUUUGUUUGCUCUUAUAACUUACAUUAUAUUUAAUUUCCAUACUUAAACGUUGCAAAAACAUAUGAUCAAUAAAAUGUUGUUCCGGUUUUUUUAAUGUAAAUAGCAUAUUAAUGCUAAAUGAAAAUCUCUAUAGUGACUUAUUUUUCAUUAACUAUAAAGUUGUUCCGGAUAUUGUUUUAUAAAAAAUAAAUUAUGUCAAAUGAUUUUUUGAAAUCGCAUAAUUGACUAAUAUUACACUUAUAUUCUUUGACAAUACGUCACUAUAGUUUAAUUAUCGAUAUCAAAUUGUUCCGUAUUUUCAACUUUAAACACAUUUAUGUCAAAUGACUUUAUUUUUUCAAAAAUAUUGACAAUAGGUUGUUCUGGAUUUUAAAAUAAGAAAGUAAUUUAGUAGAAGCGAUUAUUGAAAAUCACUUUUUUGACUUAUUUAAUAGUUAAUUUUCUUGCUGAAACAUAACAAAAGUUGUUUAAUCGGUAAAGAAUGUUCCGGAUUUUGUUUUGAAAAAGAAAUCAACCUACAUUACUUUACUUUAAUUUUCUUACAAAUAGUCGCCAAAAAUGUUCCGAAUUUUAUAUGAAAAAUCAACUAACGACAAAAUAACUGUUUGAAAUCCCUCUUGUAAUAAAUUAACAUUUACGAAAAAUGGUUG